rnacentral:rRNA from 1 species
AUUGAACGCUGGCGGCAUGCCUUACACAUGCAAGUCGAACGGCAGCACGGGAGCAAUCCUGGUGGCGAGUGGCGAACGGGUGGGGAAAGUAUCGGAACGUGCCCAGUCGAGGGGGAUAACGUAGCGAAAGUUACGCUAAUACGGCAUACGAUCAUGGGAUGAAAGCGGGGGAUCGCGAGACCUCGCGCGAUUGGAGCGGCCCAUAUCAGAUUAGGUAGUUGGUGGGGUAAAGGCUCACCAAGCCGACGAUCUGUAGCUGGUCUGAGAGGACGACCAGCCACACUGGGACUGAGACACGGCCCAGACUCCUACGGGAGGCAGCAGUGGGGAAUUUUGGACAAUGGGCGAAAGCCUGAUCCAGCCAUGCCGCGUGCAGGAUGAAGGCCUUCGGGUUGUAAACUGCUUUUGUACGGAACGAAAAGGUUUGGCCUAAUAAGCUGAGCUCAUGACGGUACCGUAAGAAUAAGCACCGGCUAACUACGUGCCAGCCGCCGCCGUAA